rnacentral:rRNA from 1 species
CCCGGCUGCUAAAUGCGGAGCAGUCAAGUGCUCAAUGCACCUCAGCACGAAACUCGCCCCGGGAUGGAUUAUCCCUUACUCCUUGAGAGUCCCGAAGGAACGUUGAAGACGACGACGUUGAUAGGCCGGGUGUGUAAGCGCAGCGAUGCGUUGAGCUAACCGGUACUAAUGAACCGUGAGGCUUAACCUU